CCUACGGGUGGCUGCAGUGGGGAAUAUUGCACAAUGGGGGAAACCCUGAUGCAGCGACGCCGCGUGAGCGAUGAAGUAUUUCGGUAUGUAAAGUUCUAUCAGCAGGGAAGAAAAUGACGGUAUCUGACUAAGAUGCCCCGGCUAACUACGUGCCAGCAGCCGCGGUAAUACGUGGGGGGCAAUCGUUUUCCGGAUUUACUGGGGGUGAAGGGGGCGUAGACGGAUGUGCAAGCCAGAUGUGAAAGCCCGGGGCUCAACCCCGGGACUGUAUUUGGAACUGUGUGGCUGGAGUGUCGGAGAGGCAGGCGGAAUUCCUAGGGUAGCGGGGAAAUGCGUAGAUAGUAGGAGGAACACCAGUGGCGAAGGCGGACUACUGGACGAUGACUGACGUUGAGGCUCGAAAGCGUGGGGAGCAAACAGGAUUAGAUACCCUGGUAGUC
rnacentral:rRNA from 1 species